rnacentral:rRNA from 1 species
CCUACGGGAGGCAGCAGUGGGGAAUAUUGCACAAUGGGCGCAAGCCUGAUGCAGCCAUGCCGCGUGUGUGAAGAAGGCCUUCGGGUUGUAAAGCACUUUCAGCGGGGAGGAAGGCGGUGAGGUUAAUAACCUCAUCGAUUGACGUUACCCGCAGAAGAAGCACCGGCUAACUCCGUGCCAGCAGCCGCGGUAAUACGGAGGGUGCAAGCGUUAAUCGGAAUUACUGGGCGUAAAGCGCACGCAGGCGGUCUGUCAAGUCGGAUGUGAAAUCCCCGGGCUCAACCUGGGAACUGCAUUCGAAACUGGCAGGCUAGAGUCUUGUAGAGGGGGGUAGAAUUCCAGGUGUAGCGGUGAAACGCGUAGAGAUCUGGAGGAAUACCGGUGGCGAAGGCGGCCCCCUGGACAAAGACUGACGCUCAGGUGCGAAAGCGUGGGGAGCAAACAGGAUUAGAUACCCCUGUAGUC